rnacentral:rRNA from 1 species
UUUUUGUGUGUGCAUUCGACGCUCGUAUGUGCAAUUGUCAAUUCAUGGUGGGGACAGACCAUUGUUAAUUGUUGGUCUCGGUCUUAACUAGGAAUGCCUUGUACGGGUCUUUGGUUCAACAAACCACCCGGAAUACGUCCCUGCCCUUUGUACACACCGCCCGUCGCUCUUACCGAUGGACUUCUCUGUGAGUUUGAGGGACUGGAUUUUAUAUCUAUGGAAACUCAAACGAA